UCCCUGGCCGUCCAGUGGUUAGGACUUGACGCUUUCACUGCUGGGGCCCAGGUUCAAUCCCUGGUCAAGGAA
rnacentral:tRNA from 1 species